rnacentral:rRNA from 1 species
UAGCUAAUACCGCAUAACGUCGCAAGACCAAAGAGGGGGACCUUCGGGCCUCUUGCCAUCGGAUGUGCCCAGAUGGGAUUAGCUAGUAGGUGGGGUAAAGGCUCACCUAGGCGACGAUCCCUAGCUGGUCUGAGAGGAUGACCAGCCACACUGGAACUGAGACACGGUCCAGACUCCUACGGGAGGCAGCAGUGGGGAAUAUUGCACAAUGGGCGCAAGCCUGAUGCAGCCAUGCCGCGUGUAUGAAGAAGGCCUUCGGGUUGUAAAGUACUUUCAGCGGGGAGGAAGGGAGUAAAGUUAAUACCUUUGCUCAUUGACGUUACCCGCAGAAGAAGCACCGGCUAACUCCGUGCCAGCAGCCGCGGUAAUACGGAGGGUGCAAGCGUUAAUCGGAAUUACUGGGCGUAAAGCGCACGCAGGCGGUUUGUUAAGUCAGAUGUGAA